rnacentral:sRNA from 1 species
UAUCCCAGGGCCAGGCUGCUCCCUGAGGUUAGUGCCCUUUGAGCAGAGGCUGCUGGCGCAUGCGUGUGCGUGUCUGUGUGUCUGUCCAGGUGAGGGAGCACACGUCGCAUUUGGAGGCAGAGCUGGAAAAGCACAUGGCAGCUGCCAGCGCCGAGUGCCAGAACUACGCCAAGGAGGUGGCGGGGGUGAGUCUGCCCCCCAAGGAGUGCAGCCCCUGCCCAGCAGAGCUGCGGUCCUCCCUGAGCUGCUUCUCCUCAGCCCUGUGGGAGCAGCUCUCGUUGACAUAAGCCUUGAAGUCUGAGUCCUCAAGCGUUUGCCCGAAGCCUCGCAGGCCCCUCAUUGGGCUGUCAGGCCUGAGGUGUGUCUCAGGGCAGGUUUCAAAAAGGCAGCCUCCCAGCCAGGACAGGGGCAGAGCCAGGCAGCCCUGCCCCGAGGGAGGCGUUUGACAUUCUAGGUUAUCCCUCCGCAAGGGGAUUCUCUGCCUGGCUUGCUGAUGUCAUAUCUGGUGGGGAGUGGAUUUAGAUCUGAUACUUUUUCUGCUCUUCAGAAGCAGAAGCACAAGCCCAGUAUACCAAUUCUGGUUUAAUCUCAAACUUUUGGGCCAGGCACAGCGGCUCAUGCCUGUAAUCCCAGCACUUUGAAAGGCUGAAGUGGAUUGCUCAAGGCCAGAAAUUUGAGACCGGCCCAGGCAACAUAGCAAGACCCCAUCUCUACCAAAAAAAAAAAAAAAAAAAAAAAGCUAGGCACACUGGUGGGCACCUCCAUUCCCAGCUGCUUAGGAGGCUGAUGCAGGAGGAUUGCCUGAGCCCAAGAGUUCAAGACCAGCAUGGACGACAGAUUGAGACCAUCUCUGAAAAAAAAAAUCAUCUCAAACUUUUGGCCCUUUUUUGCCGGAAGUAAUCAGUAAACAUUUGUGAAGGCCUGAAAGAGGUAUGCAGUGAACACCAUUCUUCCUAAGUCCUCAAAAAAGAAAUCAUAGCUGUAGGAAGCCUGGCGAGCCCUGUGCCGGCCCAGUGCUGUCACCCUCCUCAGGGUUUUGGUUAAGUGGAUGUAUUAGGUUUUAUGUUUCGGCGCUAACUCACGGGGACUGGUUUUCUCCUUUUCUCUCCUUUUUUCUCCAUCACCUGCCUCUGUUUUCUCCCCAAGCUGAGGCAACUUCUCCUAGAAUCUCAAUCUCAGCUCGAUGCCGCCAAGAGCGAAGCCCAGAAACAGAGCGAUGAGCUUGCCCUGGUCAGGCAGCAAUUGAGUGAAAUGAAGAGCCACGUAGAGGAUGGUGACAUAGCUGGGGCCCCAGCUUCCUCCCCAGAGGCCCCCCAAGCCGAGCAGGCCCCCGUUCAGCUGAGGACGCAGCUGGAGCGGACAGAAGCCAUCCUGGAGGAUGAGCAGACACAGCGGCAGAAGCUCACGGCUGAGUUUGAGGAGGCUCAGACCUCGGCAUGUCGGUUACAAGAAGAAUUGGAGAAGCUCCGCACAGCCGGCCCCCUGGAGUCUUCAGAGACAGAGGAGGCCUCACAGCUGAAGGAGAGACUAGAAAAAGAGAAGAAGUUAACAAGUGACCUGGGGCGCGCCGCCACAAAACUGCAGGAACUUCUGAAGACAACCCAGGAGCAGCUGGCAAGGGAGAAGGACACAGUGAAGAAGCUGCAGGAACAGCUGGAAAAGACAGAGGACGGCAGCAGCUCAAAGGAGGGCACCUCUGUCUGAGUCUCCUCUGUGGAAAAAGAAGUUACUGUUCAACUUACCAAAAUGCCUUACACAUUCCUUACAAAUAAACCAAGCAACCUACACAGCGUUAUCCAGGCCCAACUUCCGGUAGCUCCGAGAGAAGCCAUGAGAGACAAGAGUCUCCUAGAGCCACAGAGGUAGACCUUCCAGAGCCCCAGUUUGUAAAUGAACCUGUGUCACAUUUGAUAAACACUAUCCUGGGCGCAGCCCCGGGCCACCGCCGAGUGACGCCAAAGCCCUGGUUGACUCUGACAGCCCCGUGGGUGUGUGGGAGGCCGGGCGCUCUGGGGUCUGUCUGUCAGUGCAAUCGUUUCGUGUUUUUUCAGUGGGGCGGGGCGGGAAGCGGGUGGGACCGGGCAGCCAGUUCUUGAAGGCUGUGGGGCCGACUGGAGGCCACAGCCCCUCACCCCUAGAUAUUGCCAACCAGAACUGACGUGCGACCUCCUGGGUGUUGAUGCCAUUAAAACCAACGUUGGUGCCCGGUG